rnacentral:rRNA from 1 species
AGUGAACGCUGGCGGUAGGCCUAACACAUGCAAGUCGAACGGCAGCACAGUAAGAGCUUGCUCUUACGGGUGUCGAGUGGCGGACGGGUGAGGAAUACAUCGGAAUCUACUUUUUCGUGGGGGAUAACGUAGGGAAACUUACGCUAAUACCGCAUACGACCUACGGGUGAAAGCAGGGGAUCUUCGGACCUUGCGCGAUUGAAUGAGCCGAUGUCGGAUUAGCUAGUUGGCGGGGUAAAGGCCCACCAAGGCGACGAUCCGUAGCUGGUCUGAGAGGAUGAUCAGCCACACUGGAACUGAGACACGGUCCAGACUCCUACGGGAGGCAGCAGUGGGGAAUAUUAGACAAUGGGCGCAAGCCUGAUCCAGCCAUACCGCGUGGGUGAAGAAGGCCUUCGGGUUGUAAAGCCCUUUUGUUGGGAAAGAAAAGCAGCAGGUUAAUACCCCGCUGUUCUGACGGUACCCAAAGAAUAAGCACCGGCUAACUUCGUG